GGCCCCGUGGCCGAGUGGCUUAGGCACUGGUUUGCAAAACCAGGUACAGCGGUUCGACUCCGCUCGGGGCCUCCA
rnacentral:tRNA from 1 species